rnacentral:rRNA from 1 species
GUCCACGCCCUAAACGAUGUCAACUGGUUGUUGGGUCUUCACUGACUCAGUAACGAAGCUAACGCGUGAAGUUGACCGCCUGGGGAGUACGGCCGCAAGGUUAAAACUCAAAGGAAUUGACGGGGACCCGCACAAGCGGUGGAUGAUGUGGUUUAAUUCGAUGCAACGCGAAAAACCUUACCCACCUUUGACAUGGCAGGAAUCCUAAAGAGAUUUGGGAGUGCUCGAAAGAGAACCUGCACACAGGUGCUGCAUGGCUGUCGU